GAAUAUGUCCUUGGCUUAUAAGCUUUAGUUGUUAAUUUUUAAAAGGGUAAUUUAGGAAGUCAACCUUUAAUUUAUAUAAUAUAUGUUAUAAUUAAAAUAAGCCAAGGUUUUAUUUUGUUCUCAUCACCGAAUAUGAAAAACAAAAAGAAAAGAAUAAGUUCUCAAGGAUUCGGCCAUCUUCCAAGUUGAUUCAAGGUUCGUUUUUACUCUGUUUUCGAUAAUUUCUACGUUUUUGAGAUCGUUGCUUCGAGUACUACAAACCCAAGCUUUAAUUUUUUAUUUUGAUGAAUAUUUUGAAUAGUGCCAUUAUUGAUAACUUGUGAUUUUUGUUGUUUGAUGAUGAAAAAUGAAAGAUAUGUUUUAGAUUAAUAUAUUUUGUAUUGGAAUUUUUGAUGAUUUUGAGUUAUUAGAACUUAAUUGCAAAAAUAAUAAUUUGAGGGACUAAAAUGUGAAAUUGAUGAAAUAUAUGGACUUGUAUAGUAGUGGGUAAGAUUCGGCCAAACAUGAGUACUUGGAAAUUUUGUGUAUUUUGUGUUUUGUGUAAUAGGGACUAAAUUGUAAAAAUGGUAAAUGUCAGGGGUAAAAUGGUAAUUUUCCUAUUAAUGUGUUUUUGGAUUAAAUUGAAUGAAAAUAUGUUUGAAUGAGCUUAAUUUGAAUAUGUUUAGAUCAAGAACUAAAGAAAUCGGAUUUGGAUCGGGGAAAAACGAAAGUUGUCGACUAGCAGCCCCGUCCCGUUUUACGACGUUCGAGGUAAGUUUACAAGCAAAUAGACGUGUUUAAUUGUAGUUAAGUAUUAAGAUAUAUAUGCUGUUAUGAAAUGUUAGCAUUUACACUUGAUAUAGCCGAAUAUGAAAACGGUUGGUUACUACGUUUCUGAAUUCGUUUCGAUUGAGUUGCGACGUCUGAAAGCCCCGUAUGAACCUUAGGAAUAGUUAGGAUACAUAUGUCAUGACAUAGGGUUCCGAUAUAUGUAUGCGAGUAAGACCAUGGCAUCGAUUUGUGAUUCUGAUAUGUGUUUACGAGUAAGACCCUGUCUGGGACAGUGGCAUCAAUAUGUGACUACAUGUAAGACCACGUCUGGGACGUUGGCAUUGUACGAUUUAUGUGAUUAUCCGAGUAUCCUAUCCAAUUCCAAGUGGUUCAUUGGGCAACGACAAAUUGUGAACGAACAUGUAAAACGAACUGAUUGACCAAGUAUGAAAAAACAUAUUAUCUACUGGAAUAAGGUAAGUAAGUUAUUGAUAUGUGUUAUGAAUUGUGUGUGAUGUAAAUGAAGAUUGUAUAUGAUCAAAAGAUGUGCAUUCGGCUUUGUGAACAAGAAAUAUAAUAGUUGUUAAAUGAUUCUUGAACAUGUGUAUUUAUAAUCUUGUGUAUUCGGCCAUAUAUUUAGAGUACAUACAUAAAGUUAUAUCUUGGAUUAUGAGCUCGUGUUUAUUAGUAGAGAUAUACUUGGCUAUAUAAUAACCUUUUGGCUUUGAAAAUCUUAAUGAUAAUUUAUUAAUUUAACUAUAUGAUUAUUCGGCUAAGGUAAUCCAUAUGUACCAAAAAGAUAUUUUGUAUAUAUAUAUAUAUGUAUUCGGCCAUAAAUAAGUAUAUGUGAUAGUAUAAAAUAAGUGUUAAAUCGUAAGAUUGAAGCUUAAUUUGACUAUGAUAGUAUAAUUUGGUAUAGUUAAAUGUAUGAAUUACGUCAUUGAAUAGUUUAUUUUCUUAUGACUUAUUAAGUUAUAAAAGCUUACUCUGUAUGUGUAUGUUUGUUUUGUUUUAUAGAUUAUGGAUUCAUGUUACGAGCUCGGGAAUCGUCAGAGGAGCUUAUCACACUAUUGACAGUCUUCGGUAUCAUUGAAGUGAACUUUCGAAUUUAUGGCAUGUAUAGGCUGGAGUUUACUUUUGAAAUGUUUAAUUUUGGUUAUAUAUUAAAAGCCAUGCGAAAAUGGCUUAACUACUUUGUUUGAAUUUGGUUUUAGUUUAGUUAUGUUUUAAAUUGAUGUUGGGUCAUGAUGUCGUAUGCUAUAAAGAGUUAUGAGUGGUGCUAUGUGAUUGUAUAUCAAGGUUGGUUUAUGAUUUAGUAAGUGACAGAGUAGUUUCGAUCAUAAGCAUGAUAGGUUGGAUUGGAUGUGAUUGUGUAAGAUGACAUAUACAUAUGUGAACUUGCUUUUUAUGCUUUGGCUUAGGCUCGUAUGUGCAUAGAUAUAAUGCUUAGUGAGACUAGAAUUAAAUAUUAUCAUUCGGUGAUGAAAGGUAACAAGUGCUAAAUACAUUUUAAAAUUGUUUUGGUUAAUUAUUUGACAUGUGAGCAUAAGUUAAGUGUGGCAUUAAGAUUUUGGACAAAUGAGCUUUAGUUACACGUAUAUGAAUAUGUAUUGAUAGUGGGUACGGCUAUGUCAUAUAGCAUCAAUGAUGCAUAAAUGAUUUUUUUUUUCUAAAUGGUAACAUGUGUUUGAG
rnacentral:lncRNA from 1 species